rnacentral:lncRNA from 1 species
ACAUAAACAAAGCAGGGUGCUUUCCCUUCCCAAGGGCUGAGCUUUCUCUCUUCCUUCUUCUGGCAGAGGCUUUCUAACUAUUCACAGGCUCUCUCCUUCCACAUCUCUCCCUCUCUGUGACACAGAAGAGAACCAAUGAGGAUGGCACGGCAGAGCCUAGGGCAACCCUAAGUAUCCUUCUAGCUGUUACAUGUCCCAGGCUUGCCCUUUACAUCUGGGGCCACAUUGUAUACAGAUGACUACAUGCUGCACUGCAUUGAUUUACUCAAUGUACUGCUCUUUUAGAUGGCCUCCUGAAUUUCAAACAAGGGAAGAACAGCAAGAUGGAAGAAUUCUCCAGUUUCUGCUCUGACUCUGCAGUCCAGACUAUUGAGAAACUCCUCACGUAACAAAGGCCAGCCUCAAGUCUUGCUGAUUCUCCUGCCUCGAUUCCCA